GACGAACGCUGGCGGCGCGCUUAACACAUGCAAGUCGAGCGAAGCGGCGGACGGGUGAGUAACACGUGAGUAACCUGCCUUAGACAUUGGGAUAGCCUCGGGAAACCGGGAUUAAUACCAAAUGGUCUAAGAUGGACUCGCGUCCCAUUAGCUAGUUGGUGGGUAACGGCACACCAAGGCGACGAUGGGUAGCCGGCCUGUGAGACUGAACGGCCACAUUGGAACUGAGAAACAGUCGAAAAUCUACGGGAGGGAGCAGUGGGGAAUAUUGCACAAUGGAGGGAACUCUGAUGGAGCGAGGAUGGGUAAACGCAGAAGGCUUUGGAGUCGUAAAGUUCUUUUAUAUGGGAAGCGGUACCAUAAGAAAAAGCCCCGGCUAACUACGUGCCAGCAGCCGCGGUAAUAC
rnacentral:rRNA from 1 species